rnacentral:lncRNA from 10 species
GAGGAGGCAGCGUGACUGCAGAGUUUUGAGGGAUGCAGCCAGGGAAGUGAGGAGUGCCGGGAGCCACCGCGAGCUGGGAGAGAAACGAAGUUUUGCCACAUUGGCCAGGCUGGUCUCAAACUCCUGGCCUCAAGCAAUCCACCCACCUCAGCCUCCCAAAUUGCUGGGAUUACAAGCGUGAGUCACUGCACUUGGCUCUUUCUAAAAGCUUUUAAGUGUCGUCUUUGGGGGUAAUCAUUUUAAAUUGCUUUAACCAAUUUUCUUUCUGACUCCUUUAUUGGAACUUCAUAGACCCUAAUCAUCCCUCCAGAUAUAUUGACACUAGUUAUACCAUCUAAUUCUUUGUUCUGUAUUUGAUAUCAUUUAGGAACAAGUACAUCAGCUUUUCCUUUUAUCAUAGGUCUAAGGUGGCUUCCAUAAGCUAGAAAAUUAUAUUAGAAAAAUGCAUCUUAUUUUAUCCAUGUAGUGUUUUUAAUUUUUUUAAUUUCUUCUAUUCUGAAUAUAGGACUAACACAUUUUUAAAACCAAGCCAAUAUGGCUCCAUUUCUGUCAAUAAUAUUGAUUCCUAGUAAAAAUAUGUUUAAACAUAACAUUUUCAUUUCCUUUGUGACAUUUG